rnacentral:sRNA from 1 species
UUGGGGUGCAUCCACGUCUCUCUUGAUCCUCAUG